rnacentral:rRNA from 1 species
GGGCGUAAAGAGCACGCAGGCGGUCUGCUACGUAGUGGGUGACAGCUCCUAGCUUAACUGGGAGAGUGCUUGCUAAACGGACAGACUUGAGGGCCAGAGAGGGACAUGGAACUCCGGGUGUAGUGGUGAAAUGCGUAGAUAUCCGGAAGAACACCAAAGGCGAAGGCAAUGUCCUGGAUGGUUACUGACGCUCAGGUGCGAAAGCUAGGGGAGCGAACGGGAUUAGAUACCCCGGUAGUCCUAGCCGUAAGCGAUGACCACUAGGCGUGUGGGGUAUCGACCCCUUACGUGCCGUCUCUAACGAAUUAAGUGGUCCGCCUGGGGAGUACGGUCGCAAGAUUAAAACUCAAAGGAAUUGACGGGGACCCGCACAAGCGGCGGAGCGUGUGGUUUAAUUCGAUGCAACGCGAAGAACCUUACCAGGGUUUGACAUGUCGAUGAUGAACCGAGAAAUCGGCCUCCCUUCGGGGCAUCGGCACAGGUGCUGCAUGGCUGUCGUCAGCUCGUGCCGUGAGGUGUUGGGUUAAGUCCCGCAACGAGCGCAACCCCUGUCGUCGGUUAUUGGUGUCCGACGAAACUGCCGCGAUCAACGUGGAGGAAGGUGGGGAUGACGUCAAGUCAGCACGGCCCUUACAUCCUGGGCGACACACACGCUACAAUGGUCGGGACAAAGAGUUGCCAACCCGCGAGGGGGAGCUAAUCUCACAAACCCGGUCUCAGUUCAGAUUGGAGGCUGCAACCCGCCUCCAUGAAGUUGGAGUUGCUAGUAACCGUAGGUCAGCACACUACGGUGAAUACGUUCCCG